GAGGAAGUGGGGCUACUGGGGUGGAUUUAGAGCGGGAGCCGGGAGGCCCGGAGGGAUUCACGUGAAAGGAUCUGUCUCCUAGGCACCAGGAACAGUGGCUUUAACUCCAGUAACUGUGAGAAGUUCAAGUUAACUGGCAGGUGUUGGGGGAGGGGUGGGGGCUGUCCAAUGGAGGGGGAGGUUCCGUGCGAGGUCUCUGCAUCUCACCCAGCAUCUCCGCGCGAAGUCUCAGCUUCCCUACGAGCCCCCCGGUACAACUCCCAGCGCCCCCCCCACUCGGGCACCCCCACUCUCCUGGCCCUGGAACUACUUCUGUAAAAAAAGUCUGAACCGCCCGCAUCUAGGCGGAGGACGACAGGAUGGGGGAGGCGAGGCGAAAUCGAUAUGCCAGGUCCUUAACCUAUAAUUGCACCUUCCAGGGCCGAGCAGAAAGGGACCCUCUGCCCACAUCCCGCCCGCGCGCCCGCCCUCCCGGGAGAGCCGCCGCCGCCGCCGCCGCCCGGCUCCGAGGGAUCCCGCCGGACCUGCCCCUUCCACUGCGGCUCACUCUGCCCUGCCUGGCGCCAGUCCUGGAUCGCCGGCUUCCUAUUUAUAUCACACUGGGCUCCUCUCGACUCACUUUACCAUCCCGUUCCAGGCUGGCGACUUCGCUGCUGAGCUGAAACUGCUAAUUUCUGUGACCAGCUUUUUUCUUAGCUGUGAUCUGGAUGAAUGAGUAGCUGUCUCACAGAGAUGACAAAAAUAAACUCUAAUCCCCCCCAAAAUUUCCACUACAUCUUUCUCAUGCAUAGAUUUAUGAUCUUCAAGCGCUCUGUGCAAUAUGCAAACUUUUUUUUGUGUCUGUAUAUAUGCUGUUGUUUCCAGAUUUCACUACAUUGGUAUGCUGCUCCCCCCCCCAUGAAAUGCAGAAAAUGUCUGAUCUCAAAAUAUGCCAAGAUGCCACUUUCUAGUGUCUUGGUAUUUGGGGUUUGAGUCUAAUUUGGAAGACACUAGCCCUUGCCUAAAAGGUGAGUGGCUGAGUGUGCAAACUGGGGGUGCGGGAAUUAGAGCUGGUAGAUGGAAUAG
rnacentral:lncRNA from 1 species